GUGGCGAACGGGUGAGUAACACGUGAGCAAUCUGCCCUUGACUCUGGGAUAACUGCGGGAAACUGUAGCUAAUACCGGAUAUUACCUUGGAAGGCAUCUUCUGGGGUGGAAAGAAUUUUGGUCAAGGAUGAGCUCGCGGCCUAUCAGCUAGUUGGUGAGGUAAUGGCUCACCAAGGCGACGACGGGUAGCCGGCCUGAGAGGGUGACCGGCCACACUGGGACUGAGACACGGCCCAGACUCCUACCGGAGGCAGCAGUGGGGAAUAUUGCACAAUGGGCGCAAGCCUGAUGCAGCAACGCCGCGUGAGGGACGACGGCCUUCGGGUUGUAAACCUCUUUUAGUAGGGAAGAAGCGACUGGGUUUUCCUGGGAGUGACGGUACCUGCAGAAAAAGCACCGGCUAACUACGUGCCAGCAGCCGCGGUAAUACGUAGGGUGCAAGCGUUGUCCGGAAUUAUUGGGCGUAAAGAGCUCGUAGGCGGUUUGUCGCGUCUGCUGUGAAAACCCGAGGCUCAACCUCGGGCCUGCAGUGGGUACGGGCAGACUAGAGUGCGGUAGGGGAGAUUGGAAUUCCUGGUGUAGCGGUGGAAUGCGCAGAUAUCAGGAGGAACACCAAUGACGAAGGCAGAUCUCUGGGCCGUAACUGACGCUGA
rnacentral:rRNA from 1 species